UUGGCUUAGAAGCAGCCAUCCUUGAAAGAGUGCGUAAUAGCUCACUGGUCAAGUGGUUCUGCGCCGACAAUGUAGCGGGGCUCAAGCGUACCGCCGAAGCUGUGGCAACAACACGCGAUGCUGGCGCCAGGAACUGGAGUGCUGGUGUGUUGUUGGGUAGGGGAGCGUCCUGCACGAGGUGAAGCCUGGAGGGAACUUCUGGUGGAUUGUGUGGGAGUGAGAAUGCAGGCAUGAGUAACGAAUCUGCGGUGAGAAUCCGCAGCGCCGAUUGACUAAGGGUUCCAGGGCUAGGUUUAUCCGCCCUGGGUUAGUCGGGUCCUAAGGCGAGGCCGACAGGCGUAGUCGAUGGACAACCAGUUGAUAUUCUGGUACCGCGUUAUGACCGCCCAUGCUGAAGUCAUUGUGCUAACCAAUCUGCCCGCGCACCCUUGUGGCUUUCGGGCUGCGAGCGUGUGUGUGGGUCUUGGGGCCCCGGUGAUGGUAGGCAAGCGUGUUAACAGGGGUGACGCAGACAGGUAGCUGCAGUGCGCCGAUGGUUGAGCGUAUUUAAGGUUGUGGCCCGCCGCCCAGGUAAAUCCGGGUGGCACGAGGGGUGAGAACUGAUGAGGGACACACGCGUGUGUGGACUUGUGGUGAUCCUAUGCUGCCGAGAAAAGCCUCGACGUGAGGGCAUGACGCGCCCGUACCCUAAACCGACUCAGGUGGUCAGGUAGAGUAUACCGAGGCGUUCGAGUGAAUCGUGGUUAAGGAACUCGGCAAAAUUCCUCCGUAACUUCGGGAUAAGGAGGACCCCGUGACUUCCCCACGCCAAGCGUGUGGGUGGGGUUGUGGGGUCGCAGAGAAUAGGGAGAAGCGACUGUUUAUCAAAAACACAGGUGCGUGCGAAGCCGUAAGGCGAUGUAUACGCACUGACGCCUGCCCGGUGCUGGAAGGUUAAGAGGAACCGUCAACACCCCUUGUGGGUGUGAAGCGGUGAAUUUAAGCCCCAGUAAACGGCGGUGGUAACUAUAACCAUCCUAAGGUAGCGAAAUUCCUUGUCGGGUAAGUUCCGACCUGCACGAAUGGCGUAACGACUUCUCCGCUGUCUCAACCGCGAACUCGGUGAAAUUGCAGUACGAGUAAAGAUGCUCGUUUCGCGCAGAAGGACGGAAAGACCCCGGGACCUUUACUAUAGCUUGGUAUUGGUGUUCGCUUGGACUUGUGUAGGAUAGGUGGGAGACUGUGAAGCUGCCGCGCCAGCGGUGGUGGAGUCGUCGUUGAAAUACCAUUCUGGUUCAAGCGGUCACCUCAACCUAGACCCGUGAUCCGGGUUGGGGACAGUGCCUGGUGGGUAGUUUAACUGGGGCGGUUGCCUCCUAAAAUGUAACGGAGGCGCUCAAAGGUUCCCUCAGCCUGGUUGGUAAUCAGGUGGCGAGUGCAAGUGUACAAGGGAGCUUGACUGUGAGACCGACGGGUCGAGCAGGUGCGAAAGCAGGAACUAGUGAUCCGGCCAUGGCACGUGGGUGCGUGGUCGCUCAACGGAUAAAAGGUACCCCGGGGAUAACAGGCUGAUCUUGCCCAAGAGUCCAUAUCGACGGCAUGGUUUGGCA
rnacentral:rRNA from 1 species